ACCCGCCGCAGCGGGAGAGACCGGCGACGAGCCGGCGCCGAAGGAGCAACCGCCCCGGAAACUCUCAGGCAAAAGGACCGCGCGGCAUCG
rnacentral:ncRNA from 2 species